ACGCUCGACACCUACUGGAGGCAGCAGUGGGGAAUAUUGCACAAUGGGGGAAACCCUGAUGCAGCAACGCCGCGUGAAGGAAGACGGUUUUCGGAUUGUAAACUUCUGUUCUUAGUGAAGAUAGUGACGGUAGCUAAGGAGCAAGCCACGGCUAACUACGUGCCAGCAGUCGCGGUAAUCUGAGCGGGCGUGGCAAGGC
rnacentral:rRNA from 1 species